rnacentral:rRNA from 1 species
CUGAUGCGUUGUUGGGUAGGGGAGCGUUCUGUAAGCCGUUGAAGGUGGCCUGUGAGGGUUGCUGGAGGUAUCAGAAGUGCGAAUGCUGACAUAAGUAACGAUAAAGCGGGUGAAAAGCCCGCUCGCCGGAAGACCAAGGGUUCCUGUCCAACGUUAAUCGGGGCAGGGUGAGUCGACCCCUAAGGCGAGGCCGAAAGGCGUAGUCGAUGGGAAACGGGUUAAUAUUCCCGUACUUGGUGUUACUGCGAAGGGGGGACGGAGAAGGCUAUGUUGGCCGGGCGACGGUUGUCCCGGUUUAAGCGUGUAGGUGUGUGUUCCAGGUAAAUCCGGUUCACUUUAACACUGAGGCGUGACGACGAGGCACUACGGUGCUGAAGCAACAAAUGCCCUGCUUCCAGGAAAAGCCUCUAAGCAUCAGGUAACAUCAAAUCGUACCCCAAACCGACACAGGUGGUCAGGUAGAGAAUACCAAGGCGCUUGAGAGAACUCGGGUGAAGGAACUAGGCAAAAUGGUGCCGUAACUUCGGGAGAAGGCACGCUGACACGUAGGUGAAGUGAUUUACUCAUGGAGCUGAAGUCAGUCGAAGAUACCAGCUGGCUGCAACUGUUUAUUAAAAACACAGCACUGUGCAAACACGAAAGUGGACGUAUACGGUGUGACGCCUGCCCGGUGCCGGAAGGUUAAUUGAUGGGGUCAGCGCAAGCGAAGCUCCUGAUCGAAGCCCCGGUAAACGGCGGCCGUAACUAUAACGGUCCUAAGGUAGCGAAAUUCCUUGUCGGGUAAGUUCCGACCUGCACGAAUGGCGUAAUGAUGGCCAGGCUGUCUCCACCCGAGACUCAGUGAAAUUGAACUCGCUGUGAAGAUGCAGUGUACCCGCGGCAAGACGGAAAGACCCCGUGAACCUUUACUAUAGCUUGACACUGAACAUUGAGCCUUGAUGUGUAGGAUAGGUGGGAGGCUUUGAAGUGUGGACGCCAGUCUGCAUGGAGCCGACCUUGAAAUACCACCCUUUAAUGUUUGAUGUUCUAACGUGGACCCGUAAUCCGGGUUGCGGACAGUGUCUGGUGGGUAGUUUGACUGGGGCGGUCUCCUCCUAAAGAGUAACGGAGGAGCACGAAGGUUGGCUAAUCCUGGUCGGACAUCAGGAGGUUAGUGCAAUGGCAUAAGCCAGCUUGACUGCGAGCGUGACGGCGCGAGCAGGUGCGAAAGCAGGUCAUAGUGAUCCGGUGGUUCUGAAUGGAAGGGCCAUCGCUCAACGGAUAAAAGGUACUCCGGGGAUAACAGGCUGAUACCGCCCAAGAGUUCAUAUCGACGGCGGUGUUUGGCACCUCGAUGUCGGCUCAUCACAUCCUGGGGCUGAAGUAGGUCCCAAGGGUAUGGCUGUUCGCCAUUUAAAGUGGUACGCGAGCUGGGUUUAGAACGUCGUGAGACAGUUCGGUCCCUAUCUGCCGUGGGCGCUGGAGAACUGAGGGGGGCUGCUCCUAGUACGAGAGGACCGGAGUGGACGCAUCACUGGUGUUCGGGUUGUCAUGCCAAUGGCACUGCCCGGUAGCUAAAUGCGGAAGAGAUAAGUGCUGAAAGCAUCUAAGCACGAAACUUGCCCCGA